UACGAAGGGGGCUAGCGUUGCUCGGAAUGACUGGGCGUAAAGGGCGCGUAGGCGGAUGGCAUAGUCAGAUGUGAAAUUCCCGGGCUUAACCUGGGGACUGCAUUUGAUACGUGUCGUCUUGAGUUCGGAAGAGGGUCGUGGAAUUCCCAGUGUAGAGGUGAAAUUCGUAGAUAUUCGGAAGAACACCAGUGGCGAAGGCGACUCGCUGGACAAGUAUUGACGCUGAGGUGCGAAAGCGUGGGGAGCAAACAGG
rnacentral:rRNA from 1 species